UGCCAUUUUGGAGAACAUCCACUGAAUGCAGGCAGCGUAUGCUCUUCUGUGUCAGCCGCACUGCACAGAUGCGCUAUUUUCGUUCAAAUCAAAGUGUAAAUACACACAGAAAAUGUAUCCUUGUGGCGCGGCUGACACAGAAGAGCGGACCUAUCUUACAACAUAUUGACUGCUUUCCUACUCAUCAUGACCUGUAAGUGUAACCUGUAAGUAGAUUUUACAUCCCGCAGGGUCCAUUCCAUUGUCACUGCUCUGGGCUGGUACUAUGAGCAGUAUGAGAAGGAUUACGAGAAGGCCACACAUCUGUGGGAAGAAGCUGAUGCCAAAUGUCACCCUGAAGCUGCCAUGAAUUUGCGAGUUUUCUAAUCUCAGGGCCUCUAUCCUGGACAACUUGCCGACCAGGAUCAUGUCUUUGAUUUAUUAUCUGAGUGCAGCAGAGAGUGGAUUUGAAGCAGCUCAGUUUAAUGUGGCGUACCUGUGUGAACUCAACUCAGGCUCUUUGGAUCCAGCGCUGGUGACUCAGUGCAUGUUAAGAUAUUAUAACAUGUCGAUACAGACUCAAGAUCCGGCUCCGUACGCUUUGAUCAGAAUGGGAGAUCUGUUCUAUGGUGAACAGGCUUUGGGCAGAAAAGAGGUUUCUGAUGCAGCAGAGAUGUACAAGCAAGCAGCACUCAAGAAAAAACCACAGGUACCCAUGACAACAAAUGAUCAGAAAUCGUAAUUAUUUAAUAAAUGAUUAUU
rnacentral:lncRNA from 1 species